GGAGGGUGCGAGSGUUGUCCGGAAUCACUGGGCGUAAAGGGCGCGUAGGCGGUCUGCUAAGCGUGCGGUGAAAGCCUGGGGCUCAACCCCAGGUCUGCCGUGCGAACUGGUGGACUAGAGCACUGUAGAGGCAGGUGGAAUUCCGGGUGUAGCGGUGGAAUGCGUAGAGAUCCGGAAGAACACCGGUGGCGAAGGCGGCCUGCUGGGCAGUUGCUGACGCUGAUGCGCGACAGCGUGGGGAGCAAACAGGAUUAGAUACCCUGGUAGUCCACGCCGUAAACGAUGGGCACUAGGUGCUUGGGGGAGCGACCCCCCGAGUGCCGGCGCUAACGCAUUAAGUGCCCCGCCUGGGGAGUACGACCGCAAGGUUG
rnacentral:rRNA from 1 species